AGACAAUGCCCUCUUGGUUUUGAAGACCUUCUUGCAAGAUAUGCUUUUAAUAUGAAUACAGGUAUCUCCUACAGCUUCAGUUCAAUGCAGUGAUGGAAUCAGAAGUGCUGUGAUCCCACAGGGCAAUGUUGGUGCAGGUGCAGAUCAAAGGGAUUGCAAUGGACAAAAUAUUUUGGGGGGCUUGAGCCCAAGAGAACAUUUGGUGAACCUAAGAAAAUGGAGCAUCACAUAAAAACGUUAACACAAAUUAUAAGUGAUUUCUAUUCAUCAGAUGAAAGAGGUGUACCCUUUCCCACCAGGUUUUUUUGUCAUGAAACUAUGAACUCCAUAAGCAGCUUCUUAUAUAUUUUUUGCUGUGGAGUUAAAGCCCACCUGGAUGAAAAAGAUAAAAAUGAUGGUUG